rnacentral:lncRNA from 1 species
AGGAGAGAGAAAAGAAGGGUAGUAAGCCAUAUAAAAGAAGAGAAAAAAAGAACGAAAGGAGAAGGAGAAAGAAAAAGAAAGGGAGUGGGAGAGAAAAAUCAUGGUGAGAAAAAAGAGAGCGAUAUAAAGGAAAAGAGAGUGCACACUGGUGAGAGAGGAAGAUAGAAGGGGAGGAGAGCGAUAAGAGAGAAGAGAAAGUGCACACGGAC